rnacentral:rRNA from 1 species
GACGAACGCUGGCGGCGUGCUUAACACAUGCAAGUCGAACGGAAAGGCCCUGCUUUUGUGGGGUGCUCGAGUGGCGAAAGGGUGAGUAACAAGUGAGUAAACUGCCCUUGUCUUUGGGAUAACUUCAGGAAACUGGGGCUAAUACCGGAUAGGAGCUCCUGCUGCAUGGUGGGGGUUGGAAAGUUUCGGCGGUUGGGGAUGGACUCUCGGCUUAUUAGCUUGUUGGUGGGGUAGUGGCUUACCAAGGCUUAGACGGGUAGCCGGCCUGAGAGGGUGACCGGCCACAUUAGGACUAAGAUACGGCCCAGACUCCUACGGGAGGCAGCGGUGGAAAAUAUUGCACAAUAAGCCGAAGCCUGAUGCGACAACGCCGCGUGCGGAAUGACGGCCUUCGGGUUGUAAACCGCUUUCGCCUGUGACGAAGCGUGAGUGACGGUAAUGGAUAAAGAAGCACCGGCUAACUACGUG